UUUGACAAACGCUGUAUUCUUGUAAUAUAGAGGAAAGUCCAUGCUCGCACAAUCUGCGAUGAUUGUAGUGUUUGUGUGUAGGGAAAAAAUAACCUACAGGAGAAUUUCUCACGGCUCUUUAAAAGUCUAAGUACAUUGUAUAUGACUUGAUAAAGUAUAAAAGUGCCAAAGUGACGAUGCCUUUUAGAAAUAAAAGGAGUGGAACGUGGUAAACCCCGCAAGCGAGAAACCCAAAUUUUGGUAGGGGAGCUUGAGUUUGAAAGAAAUGAAUUUCACUCAGGAUCAAGAAAUUGAUAGAUAAAUGUUUGUCGCCUAUUAUUAGGAACAGAACAUGGCUUAUAA
rnacentral:RNase_P_RNA from 1 species